CCUGUACAUGCUAGCUGACAUGUUCAUGCGCUUUUACACAGCAACCCACAUGUAAACAUGCUUCCAAGCACCAGAACAUGAUUGCGCAUGAAUACUGCCUCUACCAUCUGCACAUAAGGCACCCAAGAAAUCUGGGUUUGUGGGGGUGUCCAGGUGUGUGGGUGGGGAUCUGAUCUUUUUCUGAAGCAGCUUCAAAGUGUCUUGUUAACAAAGGGACAGAAUGGUACCAGGGUUCCUUCCUCCUUCCAGCCAGGAGCUCAGAAUGGGAGUGGGCUGGGAGUGAUGUGGGGGCUCAAGCUCCUAGCUCCUGAAGGCCCUGCUUCUAUGUCCUUCGGGUUCAGGUAUCCCCUGCCCCCCAUCACUCUCCGUUCUUUCUCAUCCUCUCUUCUUCCUAUGUGUAAAUAUUAAAGGGCUGAGCCUGCAGGGCUGAUGUAGACAUGGGGAGGGAAUGAAAUUGAAAAGGAUUCCCUUGCCCCCAUCCUGACACCCCCACGCUCCAGUCCCCCGCUCCUGCCUCCUCCCCUUUCCCUUCUCCCCUCCCCUCAAUCAGUGCUUCCACAUGUCUCUCCUCCCCCCAGUCCAGAUGGGAGCUGGCUCCUUCAGAAAGGGGGCUCAGAUCAGGGUGUGGGGAGCCACCUCUCUCUGCCUCCCCCCACCACAUCUGCCUACAGGGCUGGGAGCCCCCACGGUCCUUGGGCUGGGAUGGAAGGGGUUCACUGGACAUCAUGAAGUUGCCCUCUAGGGAAGAAGAGCAGCAUCCCAGGAGGUUUGAGGGCCCAGAGAUAAUCUUCUGACUGUUCCCUCCUGUGCCCCAAUAACUGUUUUGGAGCCUGGGAGCAGUGGACUAUACACAGAGGUACUGGGAGGAAAAACUCUGGUCUUGAUAUUUUCUUUUUAUUUCCCCUUUUUGAAUUAAAAACUUGUAUAUGUACAUGGGGAUGGGGGUGGGGGCUGCCUCUUGGGUGGGGAAAAAGUGCACCCAUUCCAAGGUGCCCUUGCUUCGUUGCAACUGAUCCCCCAGGUUGUCUGAGGAAAUAUUGGUUACUACAGGCAUGGGACAA
rnacentral:lncRNA from 1 species